rnacentral:lncRNA from 1 species
CUCCCUACAUCAGGUAGCCUGCCUUCAAGUCUAUCUUGGUGAACUAUUUUACCCUUUUUAAUUUAUCUAAUAGUUCAUCAUUCAAUGGCAUAGGCUACUUAUCUUUAAUAGUGAGAUUAUUGAGCUGCCUAUAAUCUACACAAAAUCCCUAAGUCCCAUCAUUUUUCUUUACUACAAGUACUGGAGAUGCAUAGGGAUUUUUACUUGAUUGUAUUAUCCCAUUUUCUUUCAUUUCUUUUACCAUUCUCUCAAUAUCUAUUUUUUAUACAUAUGGACAUUUGUAAGGUAUGAGUUUAAAGGACUGUGCUCCUUCUUUGAUUGGUAUAUGGUGAUCAUUAAACCUAGUGGGAAGUAAUCUUUCUGGUUCCGAAAAAACUAGGGAAAAUCUAUCCACUAAAGCUUGUACUUCAGUUGGCACAACUUCUGAUCCCUUCCCAGUCCUGAGAGUGAUUUGGGCUAUCACUCCAUAGUUUUGACUCUUGAACCAACCCUUCUCUUCCACCUUAGUCAUCAUUUUGAACUCUUCCUUGAUAACCUCACUAUUUAGUUCCAUUUCAGUACCUUCAUAAGUGUGUUAUGUUUCCCUUGCAGAAAUCAAAGAGUGA